UGCACUCACUACUGUAAGUCGCUCUGGAUAAGAGCGUCUGCUAAAUCACUAAAA
rfam:Salmo salar isolate Sally breed double haploid chromosome ssa04, whole genome shotgun sequence.